rnacentral:rRNA from 1 species
UCCCAGACUCCUACGGGAGGCAGCAGUGGGGAAUAUUGCACAAUGGGGGAAACCCUGAUGCAGCGACGCCGCGUGGAGGAAGAAGGUCUUCGGAUUGUAAACUCCUUUCCUUGGGGACGAUAAUGACGGUACCCAAGGAGGAAGCACCGGCUAACUACGUGCCAGCAGCCGCGGUAAAACGUAGGGUGCAAGCGUUGUCCGGAAUUACUGGGUGUAAAGGGAGCGUAGGCGGGGAUGCAAGUUGGGUGUCAAAACUACCGGCUCAACCGAUAGUCGCACUCAAAACUGCAGCUCUUGAGUGAAGUAGAGGCAGGCGGAAUUCCUGGUGUAGCGGUGAAAUGCGUAGAUAUCGGGAGGAACACCAGUGGCGAAGGCGGCCUGCUGGACAUUAACUGACGCUGAGGCGCGAAAGCGUGGGGAGCAAACAGGAUUAGAUCCCCCGUA